rnacentral:rRNA from 1 species
GAUGAACGCUGACAGAAUGCUUAACACAUGCAAGUCUACUUGAUUCUACUUCGGUAGUUGAUUGUGGCGGACGGGUGAGUAACGCGUAAAGAAUCUGCCCGUUAGUUUGGGAUAACCUUUGGAAACGAAGGCUAAUACCGGAUAUUAUGGAGACGUCGCAUGGCGACUCCAUGAAAGCUAUGUGCGAUAGAGGAGGACUGUGCGUCCAAUUAGUUAGGUGGUGAGGUAAUGGCUUACCAAGACCGCGAUGGGUAGCCGGCCUGAGGGGAUGUGCGGCCACAAGGGAACUGAGACGCGUUACUGAAGCCUACGGGAGUCAGCAGUGUGGCACAUGGGACAAGAGGCCACAAGCCGGAUUCAGCAAUUCUUUGUGGUCGAUAAAGGUCUUCGUAUCGUAAAGUGCUUGCAGUAGCGAAGAAAAAAAUGACGGUACCUACACAAGAAGCGACGGCUAAAUAUGUGCCAGCCGCCGCCGUAACAC